GGUAAUUAAUGUAUCAAUCAAUGCACAAAAGACUUUGAAUUCAUCGGAAUUAAACACACACACCUUAGUAAGAGUUAAGAAUAUGUUUCCACCGAACUAACAGAAACAUGAUACUAACAGAAACUCAAGUUGGUUGUUCGUGUAAUAAAAUCAAAACUAGAUCAUAAUCCGUGCUAGCACGGGCAUUAAUAUUUUGUAUAAAUUAAAUUAUAUACUUUGUUUGAAUUAUAUAGGAAAUAUUAUAGUACAAAAGU
rnacentral:sRNA from 1 species